rnacentral:rRNA from 1 species
CAGUCGCCGCGGUAAUACGUAGGGUGCGAGCGUUAAUCGGAAUUACUGGGCGUAAAGCGUGCGCAGGCGGUUCGUUAAGACAGAUGUGAAAUCCCCGGGCUUAACCUGGGAACUGCAUUUGUGACUGGCGAGCUAGAGUAUGGCAGAGGGGGGUAGAAUUCCACGUGUAGCAGUGAAAUGCGUAGAGAUGUGGAGGAAUACCGAUGGCGAAGGCAGCCCCCUGGGCCAAUACUGACGCUCAUGCACGAAAGCGUGGGGAGCAAACAGGAUUAGAUACCCCGGUAGUCCCUGUCUCUUAUAC